rnacentral:tRNA from 1 species
UCCUGAGUAGUUCAGUUGGUAAAGCAUCUGCCUGCAAUGUGGGAGACCUGGGUUCAAUUCCUGGCUUGGGAA